CACUUAGAAAGGUUCAGAUCACUUAGACUAUGUGUAAUUUGGGCCUUUCUGAGUAGA
rnacentral:pre_miRNA from 1 species